rnacentral:rRNA from 1 species
GACGAACGCUGGCGGCGUGCCUAACACAUGCAAGUCGAACGAAGAAUGUUUUUCGGAAUAUUCUUAGUGGCGGACGGGUGAGUAACGCGUGAACAAUCUGCCCCGUACAAAGGGAUAGCCUCGGGAAACCGGGAUUAAAACCAUAUAACACUUAACUGCCGCAUGGUAGUGAAGUCAAAUCGAUUAAGAGGUAUGGGAUGAGUUCGCGUCUGAUUAGCUAGUUGGUGAGGUAAGGGCUCACCAAGGCGACGAUCAGUAGCCGGCCUGAGAGGGUGAACGGCCACACUGGAACUGAGACACGGUCCAGACUCCUACGGGAGGCAGCAGUGGGGAAUAUUGCACAAUGGAGGGAACUCUGAUGCAGCGACGCCGCGUGAGUGAAGAAGGUCUUCGGAUUGUAAAACUCUGUCCUUGGUGAAGAAAAGGACGGUAGCCAAGGAGGAAGCCCCGGCUAACUACGUG